rnacentral:snRNA from 1 species
GGUUGUGAGGGCAAUCUGGCUGCACCCUCAACCUAUUGAUACCAGUGUUGAUUUGACUGAUCCGUCUGGUUAGGGGAGUUCCCCUUCCUCCCUCACUGUUUCAUAAGUAUCUCUCCUGAAGCUGCUGGCUUGUUCAAUGAGGACAACCUUCCCUAAAUAGAGGAGGACCAGUCCCCAGUACAAGGUAUAUGCACGCCUCUGACAGAACCUCCAAGCAAGCUCUCAGAGGAGAACAAGGUUCACUAGUAACUAGGCCAGGGAAUAUUCAUGUGAUAUUCUUGCAAAGGACCUGGCUACAU